GAUGAACGCUGGCGGCGUGCCUAAUACAUGCAAGUCGAGCGAACAGACGAGGAGCUUGCUCCUCUGACGUUAGCGGCGGACGGGUGAGUAACACGUGGAUAACCUACCUAUAAGACUGGGAUAACUUCGGGAGGCCGGAGCUAAUACCGGAUAAUAUAUUGAACCGCAUGGUUCAAUAGUGAAAGACGGUUUUGCUGUCACUUAUAGAUGGAUCCGCGCCGCAUUAGCUAGUUGGUAAGGUAACGGCUUACCAAGGCGACGAUGCGUAGCCGACCUGAGAGGGUGAUCGGCCACACUGGAACUGAGACACGGUCCAGACUCCUACGGGAGGCAGCAGUAGGGAAUCUUCCGCAAUGGGCGAAAGCCUGACGGAGCAACGCCGCGUGAGUGAUGAAGGUCUUCGGAUCGUAAAACUCUGUUAUUAGGGAAGAACAAAUGUGUAAGUAACUAUGCACGUCUUGACGGUACCUAAUCAGAAAGCCACGGCUAACUACGUG
rnacentral:rRNA from 1 species